AGAGCAUGUCAGGAGGACAUCUCCUGAUUAGUUUCUUGUAUCUUUUCCAGACUUCAAAGAGGGAUUCACCUUCUUUUUGUCUGAAGGUUUGAACUUCUACUCUGAUUUU